rnacentral:rRNA from 1 species
UACGGGGGGAGCAAGCGUUGUUCGGAUUUACUGGGCGUAAAGGGCGCGUAGGCGGCGUGACAAGUCACUUGUGAAAUCUCCGGGCUUAACUCGGAGCGGUCAAGUGAUACUGUCGUGCUAGAGUGCGGAAGGAGCUACUGGAAUUCUCGGUGUAGCGGUGAAAUGCGUAGAUAUCGAGAGGAACACCUGCGGCGAAGGCGGGUAGCUGGGCCGACACUGACGCUGAGGCGCGAAAGCUAGGGGAGCGAACGGG